AGAGACAGUAGAACAUAGAGACAGUAGAACAUAGAGACAGUAGAACACAGACAGUAGAACAUAGAGACAGUAGAACAUAGACAGUAGAACAUAGACAACAGUAGAACAUAGAGACAGUAGAACACAGACAGUAGAACAUAGAGACAGUAGAACAUAGACAGUAGAACAUAGAGACAGUAGAACAUAGACAGUAGAACAUCAUUUAGAGUAGAACAUAGAGACAGUAGAACAUAGACAGUAGAACAUAGACAGUAGAAUACAGACAGUAGAACACAGAGACAGUAGAACAUCAUUUAGAGUACAACAUAGAAACAGUAGAACACAGACAAUAGCACACAGACAAUAGCACACAGAGACAGAACAUAGAAACAGUAGAACAUAGAGACAGUAGAACACAGACAGUAGAACACAGAGACAGUAGAACAUAGACAGUAGAACAUAGAGACAGUAGAACAUAGACAGUAGAACAUCAUUUAGAGUAGAACAUAGAGACAGUAGAACAUAGACAGUAGAACAUAGACAGUAGAAUACAGACAGUAGAACACAGAGACAGUAGAACAUCAUUUAGAGUACAACAUAGAAACAGUAGAACACAGACAAUAGCACACAGACAAUAGCACACAGAGACAGAACAUAGAAACAGUAGAACAUAGAGACAGUAGA